AGCGAACGCUGGCGGCAGGCCUAACACAUGCAAGUCGAACGAACCUUUCGGGGUUAGUGGCGGACGGGUGAGUAACACGUGGGAACGUGCCUUUAGGUUCGGAAUAACUCAGGCAAACUUGUGCUAAUACCGAAUGUGCCCUUCGGGGGAAAGAUUAAUCGCCUUUAGAGCGGCCCGCGUCUGAUUAGCUAGUUGGUUGAGGUAAUGGCUCACCAAGGCGACGAUCAGUAGCUGGUCUGAGAGGAUGAUCAGCCACAUUGGGACUGAGACACGGCCCAAACUCCUACGGGAGGCAGCAGUGGGGAAUCUUGCGCAAUGGGCGAAAGCCUGACGCAGCCAUGCCGCGUGAAUGAUGAAGGUCUUAGGAUUGUAAAAUUCUUUCACCGGGGACGAUAAUGACGGUACCCGGAGAAGAAGCCCCGGCUAACUUCGUG
rnacentral:rRNA from 1 species